rfam:Triticum aestivum genome assembly, contig: Triticum_aestivum_CS42_TGACv1_scaffold_527392_6DL
AUAGUACUCCCUCCGUCCGGAAAUACUUGUCUUAAAAAUGGAUAAAAUGAAUGUAUCUAUAACUAAAAUAAAUCUAGAUAUAAUCAUCUCUAGGACAGGUAUUUCCGGACGGAGGGAGUACUAA